GACGAACGCUGGCGGCGUGCCUAAUACAUGCAAGUAGAACGCUGAAGAGAGGAGCUUGCUCUUCUUGGAUGAGUUGCGAACGGGUGAGUAACGCGUAGGUAACCUGCCUGGUAGCGGGGGAUAACUAUUGGAAACGAUAGCUAAUACCGCAUAACAACAGUUGUUGCAUGACAGCUGUUUAAAAGAUGCAAUUGCAUCACUACCAGAUGGACCUGCGUUGUAUUAGCUAGUUGGUGAGGUAACGGCUCACCAAGGCGACGAUACAUAGCCGACCUGAGAAGGUGAUCGGCCACACUGGGACUGAGACACGGCCCAGACUCCUACGGGAGGCAGCAGUAGGGAAUCUUCGGCAAUGGGGGGAACCCUGACCGAGCAACGCCGCGUGAGUGAAGAAGGUUUUCGGAUCGUAAAGCUCUGUUGUAAGAGAAGAACGGGUGUGAGAGUGGAAAGUUCACACUGUGACGGUAUCUUACCAGAAAGGGACGGCUAACUACGUG
rnacentral:rRNA from 1 species